CUGGGUGGAUUAGUGGCGAACGGGUGAGUAACACGUGAGUAACCUGCCCCCGACUUUGGGAUAAGCCCGGGAAACUGGGUCUAAUACCGGAUAUGACUUCCUGCCGCAUGGUGGGUUGUUGAAAGAUUUAUCGGUGGGGGAUGGACUCGCGGCCUAUCAGCUUGUUGGUGAGGUAAUGGCUCACCAAGGCGACGACGGGUAGCCGGCCUGAGAGGGUGACCGGCCACACUGGGACUGAGACACGGCCCAGACUCCUACGGGAGGCAGCAGUGGGGAAUAUUGCACAAUGGGCGGAAGCCUGAUGCAGCGACGCCGCGUGAGGGAUGACGGCCUUCGGGUUGUAAACCUCUUUCAGUAGGGAAGAAGCGAAAGUGACGGUACCUGCAGAAGAAGCGCCGGCUAACUACGUGCCAGCAGCCGCGGUAAUACGUAGGGCGCAAGCGUUAUCCGGAUUUAUUGGGCGUAAAGAGCUCGUAGGCGGUUUGUCGCGUCUGCCGUGAAAGUCCGAGGCUCAACCUCGGAUCUGCGGUGGGUACGGGCAGACUAGAGUGAUGUAGGGGAGACUGGAAUUCCUGGUGUAGCGGUGAAAUGCGCAGAUAUCAGGAGGAACACCGAUGGCGAAGGCAGGUCUCUGGGCAUUUACUGACGCUG
rnacentral:rRNA from 1 species